rnacentral:misc_RNA from 1 species
AACCUAGCACACCUGCGGUGUGUACCUGCGGAAGGAUCAUUACCGAGUUGGGGUCUUUUGGCCCGACCUCCAACCCUUUGUUUAUUAUACCAUGUUGCUUUGGUGGGCCUGCCUUUCGGGGCUGCCGGGGGCAUCACUGCCCCUGACUCGUGCCUGCCAGGAGCCUUCUUAAAUUCAGUGUUCAACGGUGCUGUCUGAGUCCCAGUAUCAAAAUAUCAAAAACUUUCAACAAUGGAUCUC